rnacentral:lncRNA from 1 species
GGAGGGGGCGGGGGUCUCGGGCAGUCAGCUCCGCAAGGAUGUGAGAUUCAGAACAACUCGGGUUCCCACCCAGGUCCUGCCACCCCAGAACGGCGUGCACAGGCCACUGCUCUGAGCCUGUCUCUUCACCUGCAAAGUGGGGGUGGUGACAACUCCCUCCUUCUUGCUGAGAAGAUUUAAUGCCAUGAAGUCUGCACCGUGCUCACCUGCUACCACCGAGACAGGUACACAGCAGGCAGUGAAGGAUGGUGACUUGUUGUUUUCCAGACUCUUAUUUUUAGAAAACUUUCUCAUGCAUGCACUGCUUAACAUCAAAACAAUUUCUCAACCAAUGACUCACUGAAUUCCUUAACACCCCCAACCCACUCCACCCCACGAGGAAGCCGGCUGAGACCCUGAAGCCCACAGAGGGAGGAUGGCGUGCCCCCAGAGGCCCACCUGUUGGGGACAGAUCAAAGAUUGGAACCCCAGCUGAAGGGGCCUUUCGUUCAAAGUCUGCUUUAUAGAUUAGCUCUCCAAGUGACAGGGGAAUCUAGAAAAUAGGUCAUCUCUGGGCUUCGAGGUCCAGACUAGACACCAUGCCUGGGUACAGCACGUUGUGAUAAUCAUCAUUAUUUACAGUCAUAAUAAUAAUAGAAGCUCCUAUUGGGUGCCACUUCCUAUGGCAGUUCCCCCGUCUGUAAAAUGCAGAUGAUAGUGGUAAGUUCACAUUGUGGGAUUGUUGGUGAGGAGGGGUUAAUAUUUGUAAAGCCUGUAGAACAGGGCUCGGCAUACAGCAAACAUUACGUCAUUGAGAACAUUGAAAAUACAGAAGUGUCGUCUGCUAAAGGCUUAAGAUCGCCUCACGUUCUCCUCAGGACACGCCCACAGGAGGCUACCAUUACGUCCAUUUUGCAGGUGGGGAAACUGAGAGCUCAGGGAUGCAUGGGGAGGGCAGGCAUGUUACUCUCCCAAGGACGGGGAGGGCGAGCUCUGAGCGCAUGCAAGUGGGGAGUGCAACCCAGGGCCAUCUGCCUCCAGAUCUAUGGGGCUCCCAUCUGUCCCUCCUCCACUUCUGCAGGUCCCCAGGGGGGAGGCAGGAUGCAGCACGCUCUGGGGAAGGUAUUUCCAGAGGGUGACCUGAGCCCUGGGCCAGGCAGAGGGUUAUUAAUAGUGCCCUGGCUGGGGAGGAUGGCUCCGGGGAAGGGAGUGGGAGGGCGGAGCUGAGCCAGCGUGGGGAGGAGAGACUGCCCAGAGAGGCUGGCUGAACUUGGCUGCCAGGGCCCCUCCCAGCCCCCUGGAGCACAGCUGUUCCCUCAGCGGAUUCUCUGGGGCUGGUUCAUCACCUCGGAAUACUCCUGUGACAGGAGCCACUUGCAAAACCCGCCUCCAGCCCCCAGCAGCAAUAAAUAGAAAGCUCCCAGCCCAGGAGAAGCGAGAAGUUUCUAGGCCUGCCUCCCUGGGUUUAUUAAGCUCCUGGCUCCUCUUUAGACCUCAGCGGCUCUGGCUGCCAGCCUGUGUGGCCUGCGAGGACAGAGACUGGCUGAUCCCUGGUGAGGCAGUACGGAUAAGGGCCCUCUGGGAUUCUGCUGGAUCAGCGGGGGGUCGCCUUUGGUGGCUGGAGUGUCUCUGGGGCCCAGGACCCCAGCCUGGUGUGUGCCUCCGUCCCUGGCAGUGGAUGGUUCAGCAUUUUCUGAAGCUGAAGAAUAAGUUUGGAAGACCAGCCCACCCACAUCAGCUUGCUGUGUGACCUUGGGCAGGUGGCUGUGGUUCUCUGAGCCUCCACUUCCCCUCCAGCUCAGCGGCCACCAUGGCUGAUGGUCAGAUGCCCUUCCCCUACACGGGCCGCCUGCGCCGGGACCCCUUCCGAGACUCGCCCCUCUCCUCCCGCCUGCUGGAUGAUGGCUUUGGCAUGGACCCCUUCCACGACAAUUUGACUGCCUCUUGGCAUGACUGGGGCCUGCCUCCAUUCUCCUCGGCCUGGCCGGGGACCCUGAGGGCAGGACCCCCCCACCGUUCCCUGGGGAGCCCUGGAAAGUGUGUGUCAACGUGCACAGCUUCAAGCCGGAGGAGCUGAUGGUGAAGACCAAGGACGGAUACGUGGAGGUGUCUGGCAAACACGAGGAGAAGCAGCAAGAAGGCGGCAUUGUUUCCAAGAACUUCACAAAGAAAAUCCAGCUUCCUGCAGAGGUGGAUCCUGUGACAGUAUUUGCCUCGCUUUCCCCAGAGGGCCUGCUGAUCAUCGAAGCUCCCCAGGUCCCCCCUUACUCACCAUUUGGAGAAAGCAGUUUCAACAACGAGCUUCCCCAAGACAGCCAGGAAGUCACCUGUACCUGAGACCCCAGUCAUGGCCCAUCCUUGUUCCCUCCCCAACCCCAGGGCUUCUCUGAUUCCAGGGUACAUUACUGUAGCUGAACUCAUAGAUUUAGCGCAACUAAGAUGUUGGGGGUGGGAGUGGAUGGACCACAGAGUCCCUGGAUAGUGUAGUAGUAGGUUUUUCCACAAGAGGGCGCAAUUGGCGAGUCAUGCUCAGUUGCGCAAAAUGCUGGGAGUUUUUUUUUUUUUUCUUUACCUUUUCUGUCUUGAUGAAAAUGUUGCACAUUCUAAAGUUGCCAAACCAAUAUAAUGGGACAUAACAUUUCACAUUGCAUCUUACCUUGCAGCUGAUGCAAGGGUUGCUUUUCUCUGGGGACCUCCCCAUCACCCAGAUUCCUAUUCUGGGCUCUCAAUUUCCCUGCCUGCCCUGUGGUUUGGGUGAAGGAGCCCAUUAGCUCACUCCAUUGUGUUUCUGCAGCCCUGGCCUAAGAAGGGUUAUAGAGAGGUCUUACAUCCCCAUAUGGGAUUUAUCCAACAGCCACAUGAAAAUAAACAGUGCCUUCUGCCCUCCACCCAGGCAUUUACAGCAUGUUCCCAAGCUGGCACUCCCCGGGGACUCUGGAAGCCCCUCAGUUUAUUCUCUGGCUAAAGCCCCCCCUUUCUUGUGUCUCCUAUGUCCAAGUUGGGACUUUUAGAGAGGGCUGUCUCCAGACAGCUCCAGCUGGAACCAAGCAAAGGCCAGACAGCCUGGCAGGCAGGCUAGUGGUAUUGUCUAUAUGGGUGGGACGUGUGUGUCAUUGUUAUUUGAAUUGUGCUGUUGUUUAGGGGAAAAUAACAGUAAAUGAUAAUAAUAAUAAAGGAGCUGAUGUUCUUA